CCAGGGGCAGGCCUGCAGCCCAACUUCUAGCAGCUGGUGCAUGGGUUGCAGGCCCCUGGACCUGGAGAGGAUGAGCUCAGGGAGCCACCCAGCAGAGCUUGGGCCAUGGAGCAGCAGAGGUGGGGUGGCCACCGGAUGCGGCUGGGCUGGCUCCGGUCCCCUGGGACUCACCGUCCAGUACAGGACCCUUCCUUAUCUGUCUCUGCAUUGGAGGCACCCUGCACCCGGCACCAGCCUGAACAUUCAUUUUCCAAAUAUUUACAGGUGUGUAUGUGUUUGCCGAUCAGAUUUGAUAUCAAGUCAGGACUUCAAGGCUGGUUCUUGAACAGGCAAUUCUGCCCUCUCCUCAGCUCAUUUGGCAAGGCCCGGAGACAUUUUUGGCUGUCCCAACUUGAGGUGCUCCUAGCACUACGUGGAGUGGGCCCAGGAUCCUCCAGGCCGAGGCCCAGAAUCUACUCAGCACCCUGCAUCACACAGAACAGAAUCCCCAGUCCCCAUUGUCAGCAGAGCCAAGGUGGGAGCUGGCCUAGGGAUGGCCUAAUGGCCACAGCUCAAGUAUUGAAGAUUGUGACUGUGACUUUCCUGUAGCCCCACCCUGACCACAGACUGAACUCUGACGACAGCCCAACACUGAGCCCACACUUGGGUCAGUCUGUUCUCUGGCCCUGCUCCCCUCAUAAGCCAAGAUCAUGGUCACACCCUAAGGCCUGACCCUGGUCACACACUGAGCCCUGGUAUGGUCACACACUGGGUGCUGACUCUGGCCACCCUGACCACAGUUCCUCAUCACUCAUGCUUUAGGCACACACCGAAUGCAGCCCCUGAGACUACACUGAGCCUGGAUCCUCUGGUGGUCCUGCUCCCCGGGAAGGUCUGUCACAGAGGGGCAGGGCUCCCUGCGGCCCCUUGGCAGUGGACAGGGUCUGGUUGUGGCAGCCACAUGACUCACCCUUAGCCUUGGUCGGCUGCACUCCAUCCACUUCCUGGGACUCCAGAUUUUCCUGUUCUCUCCCAGCCCUCUACCCACCCACCUAGCUACGCAGCCCAGACUCACUGGGCUCUGCCUGCGCACACAGUACAGGAGCUGCUGCUCCCUGGGUGUAGGCCUCUAGCAGGAAGUCCUUGCCAGCAGUCCAUGAAGCCCCAUGCUUGACCGCACAUAACAUUUGCCUGAAUUUUUUACUUCACAUAGAGCUCGUUUUAAAAAUUAAGACGGCACAUUCAAUGCAAAACCACAACUGACGUCUGCUUACACAGGUGCAGAUAUUUUCCUCUGGAACAAUGCGGACAGGUGAGAGGUGUGGCUUCUGUGCAGCCAGAUCAUGGGUGUUAGGGUCACCCUCAGAGCCGGCCCCCAUGCAGGCUGUCUUACGAGGUCUCUGUGUGUGUGACAUGUGAGUGUGAUGACUGUGCCAUAUGAGAAGGUGUGUGUAUGUGUAUAUGGGUAUGAGGGUGCGGUAGGAAUGCUGGGUUAGGGUGAGUGUGCAUCAGACUGGGCAGAUCACGGCCCUCCCCAGAUAAAGCCCAGGUCUUGUCAGCCACGAACCUAUGUGUAGUUGGCCUCCUGCAGUCCUCCUCCAAGCCCAUGGGCUGACCCUGCCAUGCAGCUGUGCCCUCUGCCUGCAGCCCUUUGUCUGGAAGGGGCCCCGGGCCCUGGCAAUGCCCCUUGCUCAGGUUCUGGAGGUAUCAAAUGAUGAACUGCCAGCCACCAGUCCUCCCAGGAGGGUCUUAGGCGAGGAGUCCUGAGCAGGUUUUAUCAGUGGACACUGGGGGACUGAAUCUCAGGAGGGCUUUCUGGACAGCAGGCUGGGCAGUACAGUACCUCAGAGCCCACCCCCAUUCUGUCUCUAAUUUUCCCAAGACCCCUGUUUACCCAGAAGAGACACCUUUUCCUGGUCUCACCAAGCACUGUCAGUGGCCCUGGCCCCCACCCACUUCUGGCGGGCAUCACCCGUCCCAGC
rnacentral:lncRNA from 1 species